rnacentral:lncRNA from 1 species
CAGAGGACCCCCAAGUGCCUCAAAAGGUUAUGGUUAUUUUUAUUCUCGUGACUUUAGGAGGAAUCUUACUUGUUCCUUUCUUAUAUGUAUAACUCUUUGACCCAAUUCUUUGAUACGGUGUGUCAGAAACUCAGAAUAGGAUAAGUUGCGGUGAUUGUAUGAUUGAUCUACCUACAGUUGUGAAAUGAUCCGAUUUAGUUGGACUUAGUUGCACGAGCUCGUCUUAGGGAAAACAAUUAGCCAACUUAGUCAAAGAAAUUUAAAGGAGGUUAAUCAGAAUCUGAUUUGCGUGAUAGUAUUCUGAAAAGUAACCUGCAGCCUGUUAUUGCAAAUGGCAAGAAGAGUAGGCAUUUAUUGCUUUUACUAAUGGUCUUGUUUCCUUUUGGAGUAGGUUACUACUUUAUUAUGUCAUUAGUUUGUUUUCUUUUGGGUUCAAGCGAAUCAUUGUUUUCGAAUUCAUAAUGUCCAUUUGAUUUUCACGGAAUGGAAAGUGUCUGUCUCAAGUGCUAACCUGAUAGAAUAAACCUCUAGGGCAGAAUCCAGUUUUGUGUUUGAGCCCUUGGAGUCUAAUUUCUACAAUACUUCAACACAUAUUUGUUGGGAAACAGUUUUGUGUUCUUUAAUCCACUUUUUACGUUGUCCACUAGCUAUUAUAAUGCAUGAGGAGCUGAGAAAUUACAGAUUUUCAGUGUUGUUUCUGUUUAUGUCGUAGCCGGGUGUGGCAUGAGGUGAUCUCAAGCCUAAUUUAUUCUACCUGAAUCUAGUGAACUUCUUUUUUACUUAAGGUUGUGUUAUAGUUUUCAUCUGAGGUUAUUUGAUUCAGAAAUAAAAAAGUUCUAUCAUCAGAUUGCAGCCGCCAAGGUAAAUCUUUACCUUCACUCAAGUGACUAAGGGAAGCUAGAAAAGAAAUGAUGAGAGAAGCCAGACAACCGAUUGAAGAAAGCAAAUGAAAACAAAAGAUAGAGACAAGCUGCAUUUAUUCCCCAGGGUUAAGUUUAGCCUUCUACAUACUUAUCAGUACGAUUCUCCUUCUCUUGUACUCCCUCUGUCCCAUAAUGUAAGACGUUUUUUGACACUACACUAGUGUCAAAAAACGUCUUACAUUAUGGGACGGAGGGAGUACAUAAUUAGUCAGUACUGGUUAUUACUGAACACUUGUUAUUUUUGUUUCAGGAGAACACUUCAAGUCCAUCUGAUUCCUUUUUUCCGUGCGAAAGUAUAUCUGAUUUUUUCAUACCUAUCAAUGGGGAUAAUGAGGUUGCUGACAUGCCCACAUCUUCAGAGGUACAUGAUUUCUGUUGUUUUACGCUUUGCUAAAAAUAAUAUAUUCGGCCAUUUAACUUAGAAUGGGGCUGGAAAGCUUCUGCUGUAUUAGGAUGGUCAUCCCAUCAUUGUGAAUCUACUCUGUUGUAGAAAGAAGGAAAUCAAAAAGGGUAAAACACAAUAAAAUGUGAAAAACAAGCUGCACACUGCAAGCAUCGACGAAUCACACCCCAAGAAGAAGCAUGAAUCAUCUCAGCCCAAUGCAAUCAGAAGUGAUCUGAAUGUGCAAUGUCAUUGAAUUGUUAAUAAAGAGUAUACUGUUUUGUUAGCUUUUGAGUUAGGAAAGCCACUGCCAUCGAGGCCGAUCAUAUCUUUGAUUAGGUCGAAAAUUAAACAUUGCAGUGGCCUGAUCUUGCUAAACUUGAAUCGGUCUAAUAAAAAUAUGGAUUUUCCACUUUUGACCUGCAUUUUGUUGACGUUCUCUAUAAGGAAGGGUUCAGAACUUUCUCAAGGUUCAAAAUUGAAUACCAGCGGUACCUGCUUGCAGUCAGGUUUUCUUUUUUCAAUGCAUGAUGCAUUUGUAGCUCUUUGUCUCAUCUAUGAAGGCACUGCAUACACCUAUAGUACACUAACCUUGCUAAGCUUAGAUUUUCGCAUUUUUACAUUGUGCUUAAGGUGAAUGUUGAAUGAAUUUGUACGGUAUGCUAGAUUUCUUACCUGGGUGGUUGGGAACCUUACGUUGGUAGAUACUGACCCUCACGCAGCCUGUCAAUAUUCAAGGAUGCUGCAAAUUCGAGUUGAUAUAUUUCAAUUGCCUCUACAUGUUUGUUGUACUUCUGAGAACUGAAAAUAUUCUGUUUUACAGGUACCUGUUCAAGUGGUUGUCAGCUAAUGUAAGAGGGAUAGACAGUAACGUUUUUGUAUUUAGGAUGGGUAUGAGUAAUGUUAAAUUGAAAUUUCAGAACUUCUUUUGCAAAUAAACACCAGCAAAAUUCAGGUUUUGGCGAGAAGAAAAGUGAAACUAAAGGUUACAGUGCAAUUUAAUAGGAUACUAUGCUGCUUCCAGCCCAUGGAUUAGAACGCAUUAAUCUCUAUAGUCCAGGAGAGAUUGCUGAACAGAUGAAGUUGAUGGGAUAUCUCUGGUCGCCUGCAAAUUAAGCUAAUUGAAGAUCAAGCUCGGCAGUACUCAGUUUUCAAGUUUGGUGGUACUCAGAUUUCAAGUUCGGCAACGCUUAGUUUUGUAAUAGUGAUUGUUGAAUGUUUCCUGCCGCUGAUUACUUGGUGCUAAGUGCCGUUCAAUUAGCUCUGGACGAAUUUUAUUUGUAAUCGUAAGGAUGGAUUUUGUUAUGUGCGAUAUUUCCCAGAACCAGUACAUGGAAUCUAUCUAGUAUAUUAGACAACUUUCUUAUUUCGUGGUUACUAAAAAUGCCCUUGUGUACAGAAUGAAUUAAUGGCCUUAUGUUAACCAAAAAAUGCUGCUACAGAACUGAGAUAGUGAUGGCAUAUGUUAGUUAAAUAAGUUACC